AUGGAUAAAAAGAUCGAAGUGCGCACGGAGUCGAAGGAAGGUAUGCUUUGCAGUAUCAGUUGUUCUUGCCGCAAAUUGGAAUGCGCAGGCACACCAUGUUCCCACAUAUUUUACAUAUUGGGAAUUUUACAAGAAGAAACACUGCCCAGGUGUUGUGUUCCCACUAGGUGGACAAUGAGUGCAAAAUGUGCAUUCGCACCGACCAGAAAGAGCGAGAUGUAUGCAUACUCUGCAGCCCUACAAAGGUACCGUAAGCUAAGGAAUUUUAGUCACGCAGCAUGUUUCAAGGAAUGCCACUUUGAUGAGGCGUUUGAGCAUCUAAAAAGGGUUUUGGAAGGACAAGAUGUUUGCAAGGGAUCAACAAGUGAACAAGCUGAUAGCAAGGGAUCAACUAAUGCUCAGGGUAACAGCAUUAGGUUUGGCCCGUUGAUGCCACAAUCGGCUAACCUUGAUGGUGAAGGUUUCGAAAAGGUUCUGGAUCCCGUGCAUGUGCCAGGCCGAGGUGCUCCGAAGAAAAGGCUACAGGCAAAGAUGAAGAAAACCAGAACAAAGGGUAGAUGUAGCUAUUGUCAUGAGGCAGAUGGUCACAAUCGACGAUCUCAAAGCAGAACUAUGAUAGCUACAACAUUGUGCGCACGGUCGGACAUCAAGUACGUCGACGAUCAACCUGAUGUUGGCGUGUGCAUUGUCAUCUAUGUCUAG
rnacentral:rRNA from 1 species